rnacentral:rRNA from 1 species
CUACGGAGGGUGCAAGCGUUGUUCGGAAUUAUUGGGCGUAAAGAGCAUGUAGGCGGACUGUUAAGUCUGGUGUGAAAGCCCGGGGCUCAACCCCGGAAGUGCAUUGGAUACUGGCAGUCUUGAGUAUGGGAGAGGAAAGUGGAAUUCCGAGUGUAGGAGUGAAAUCCGUAGAUAUUCGGAGGAACACCAGUGGCGAAGGCGGCUUUCUGGACCAAUACUGACGCUGAGAUGCGAAAGCGUGGGGAGCGAACAGGAUUAGAAACCCUAGUAGUCC